AGAGUUGAUCAUGGCUCAGGAUGAACGCUGGCGGCGUGCCUAACACAUGCAAGUCGAGCGGAGAUAAGUUGAAGCCUAGCGAUCUAUCUAGCGGCGGAUGGGUGAGUAACACGUGGGUAACCUGCCCUGUACUGGGGAAUAACAGCUGGAAACGGCUGUUAAUGCCGCAUAUGCGCACGGAGCCGCAUGACUCCGGGCGGAAAGAUUUAUCGGUACAGGAUGGGCCCGCGCCGGAUUAACUAGUUGGCGGGGUAACGGCCCACCAAGGUGAUGAUCCGUAGCCGACCUGAGAGGGUGACCGGCCACAUUGGGACUGAGACACGGCCCAAACUCCUACGGGAGGCAGCAGUGGGGGAUAUUGCACAAUGGGGGAAACCCUGAUGCAGCGACGCCGCGUGAAGGAUGACGUAUUUCGGUAUGUAAACUUCUAUCAGCGGGGAAGAAGAUGACGGUACCCGACUAAGAAGCCCCGGCUAACUACGUGCCAGCCGCUGC
rnacentral:rRNA from 1 species